AGUUAAUCCUUUAUUGAAAAGAUUAUGUUUUGAAAGCAUAUUAAAGAGGUUUAAAUCCUCUAUUAACUU
rnacentral:tRNA from 1 species